CGGGGGAAAGAUUUAUCGGGAAGGGAUCGGCCCGCGUUGGAUUAGGUAGUUGGUGGGGUAAUGGCCUACCAAGCCGACGAUCCAUAGCUGGUUUGAGAGGAUGAUCAGCCACACUGGGACUGAGACACGGCCCAGACUCCUACGGGAGGCAGCAGUGGGGAAUCUUAGACAAUGGGGGAAACCCUGAUCUAGCCAUGCCGCGUGAUCGAUGAAGGCCUUAGGGUUGUAAAGAUCUUUCAGAUGGGAAGAUAAUGACGGUACCAUCAGAAGAAGCCCCGGCUAACUCCGUGCCAGCAGCCGCGGUAAUACGGAGGGGGCUAGCGUUAUUCGGAAUUACUGGGCGUAAAGCGCACGUAGGCGGAUCAGAAAGUCAGAGGUGAAAUCCCGGGGCUCAACCCCGGAACGGCCUUUGAAACUCCUGGUCUUGAGGUCGAGAGAGGUGAGUGGAAUUCCGAGUGUAGAGGUGAAAUU
rnacentral:rRNA from 1 species